ensembl:misc_RNA Metazoa_SRP Metazoan signal recognition particle RNA
GCCGGGCAUGGUGACUCACGCCUGUAAUCCCAGCACUUUGGGAGGCCGAGGUGGGAGGAUCACCUGAGGUCAGGAGUUCCAGCCUGGCCAACAUGGUGAAACCCCAUCUCUA